CUAACGUCGGCAGGGGCAGCGGUGGGCCUGCAGAGGACGACCGGGCAACCCGGCCGUGAAAGUCCGGGUCCCCAACGGAGGAAGAGAGCCCGGGCCGCGGGGCGGAGCCUUUGUAGAGGUUAUCGCGGGAACAGCGACCCCUUCAGGAUCGCCGCGGGGCGCGCUGGGAGCUUGGCCAGUUCCGCCUCGGGGAGGGUCGUGUUCGUUGUCAGGGGCGCGCCGCGGGGCAGCUGUGGCGCUGCGUGUUUGCAAGUAAGCCCCUGAGAACCAAGAGCAGAGACAACCCAAAUCCCCCCUUUUUGUUUUAAGUGAAAAUAUGGAAGUUGUAGCAUAAAAUUACAGUAUCUGUGGAAUUAGAACCACCAGCUCCCUGUCAUCAUGUAGCACCCGCUCCCUGCUGGCCCCUGACGCCUGGAUGGCACUUGGCGAACGUUUGCAGAAUAGGGUCGAAUUUAAUGUCCCCACCGAGCCUGUUGUUCAUUCAUUCAGCAUUAUUGAGUAUCUGCCGUGUACCAGGAUUGAAUCAUGUGCUGGAGAUACCAUGCUGAACAAGACUGUCCCUGCCCUCAGGAAGCUCUCAGUUCGGUUACUUGACAACCUUCAGAGACACCCCCCUCCCGCUGCUCCAGUUUUGUUUCUAUUUGCUGCCACAAGGAUUUUGUGACUGCCUAACGUGCUGGAUUACAAGAUCAACACUAGGUGCAUACUUGGUGCAAAAUACGGUGCCCAGGACACCAAAUGCCGGGUGGAGAACGUAUAAGAUGGUACGUGGGGAGUUUCUUGCCUUUCGGGAAGUCUGAGGUCUUCUGCCAGCAUUCAGUAGGCGUUCAGUAGGAGUUUUUCCACAUGUAGAGGCACAUUGUCAUGCCGAACAAGACGGGGAUACUGUUAGCAAAGAAGAAGUGGAGAAGAGUUAUAGGACAAGCAACUAUCAAUAUCUGCCAUGCUUCUGUGCGGCAAGAACUGAAAGUCUCCUGUGUUCUUUCUGCUGCACUGCAACUUCCUUUCAGUUUUUAGACUGAACAGGGUAGGCAACAUAACUCGCAGCGCAGAGUACAAAAUGGAAGUAUGGAACCCCUUGUUCAAGAAAUAGGAGAAAAGUGCCAAAGGUGCAA